GAUGAACGCUGGCGGCGUGCCUAAUACAUGCAAGUCGAGCGAACAGACGAGGAGCUUGCUCCUCUGACGUUAGCGGCGGACGGGUGAGUAACACGUGGAUAACCUACCUAUAAGACUGGGAUAACUUCGGGAAACCGGAGCUAAUACCGGAUAAUAUAUUGAACCGCAUGGUUCAAUAGUGAAAGACGGUUUUGCUGUCACUUAUAGAUGGAUCCGCGCCGCAUUAGCUAGUUGGUAAGGUAACGGCUUACCAAGGCAACGAUGCGUAGCCGACCUGAGAGGGUGAUCGGCCACACUGGAGCGGAGACACGGUCCAGACUCCUACGGGAGGCAGCAGUAGGGAAUCUUCCGCAGUGGGCGAAAGCCUGACGGAGCAACGCCGCGUGAGUGAUGAAGGUCUUCGGAUCGUAAAACUCUGUUAUUAGGGAAGAACAAAUGUGUAAGUAACUAUGCACGUCUUGACGGUACCUAAUCAGAAAGCCACGGCUAACUACGUG
rnacentral:rRNA from 1 species